rnacentral:rRNA from 1 species
CCUACGAGAGGCUGCAGUGAGGAAUAUUGGUCAAUGGGCGCGAGCCUGAACCAGCCAAGUAGCGUGAAGGAUGACUGCCCUACGUGUUGUAAACUUCUUUUAUAAAGGAAUAAAGUGAGGCACGUGUGCCUUUUUGUAUGUACUUUAUGAAUAAGGAUCGGCUAACUCCGUGCCAGCAGCCGCGGUAAUAAGGCGGAUCCGAGCGUUAUCCGGAUUUAUUGGGUUUAAGGGGAGCGUAGAUGGGUUGUUACGUCAGUGGUGAAAGUUUGCGGUUCAACCGUAAAAUUGCAAUUGAUAAUGGCAGCCUUGAGUACAGUUGAGGUAGGCGGAAUGCGUGGUGUAGCGGUGAAAUGCUUAGAUAUCACGAAGAACUCCGAUUGCGAAGGCAGCCUACUAAACUGCCACUGACAUUGAUGCUCGAAAGUGUGGGUAUCAAACAGGAUUAGAUACCCUUGUAGUC